GGCAGAGGUCCUCGGCACCCUGGCCCGGCGGGAACAAACUGCCGCGGUGGCGGGAGCUAGACUCCCGUGGCUGGAGGCGGGUCAUCCUUCUCUUCGCAGCUCCCGCAAACCCCUGGUCCCCUGGAGCCACAGCCUUCCGUGCUCUCAGCCGCUGGGAGUCAAAGGCAUAAGCUGGCGCAGCUGCAGCUGGUGGCGGUGGCUACAGACCUCCUCCCCUCAUCUCCCCAAGGCGGCGCCCAGGCCACCCGGGCAGAAGCGCCGCCGACGGAUCGCGAGUGAGCCGAGACACCCAGACAGACGCUGCGGAUAAGGACCUUCUAGAGUCCCAGGGGUUUCCAGCAGGCUGGAGGAGAGAGUGGUCCGGAGGAGCAAACUUGGCGCCGGCAGAUCCGACUCAGAGAGCUCUGAGGCUAUGGGGAAGAAAUUUGCAACCUAGGUGGGCUGAAUGCAAGAAAAUACACGUAAAGGUCCUACAGAGAAGCCAUUCUCUGUGGAUCCGGGACAAGAGAGCUCUCCCGAGAUUGUAUGGAUAUAAUUAAGUCAGUGACGAAACUGCUAAAGAACAUAGCCUGCAGCCUUUGGGUUUGGAGCUCCAAGAGUGCCUUGGCCUGCCCCAGCCACUACUAGACUGUGGAAAGAGGCUGGAGCUGAACAGGGUGUACCAUGUCCACGCACUUCCACAAACUUAUUUACCAACCGGCUAACCUUGGGGAACGCUGCAGAGCCAAUGCUAGCCCCCUCCCCCUCUCCAAGAGGCCACAACCCCGUUUUGAGAUCCAGAUCGAGAGAAUUGUUCACCUACAGCUCCGGGCUCUAAACCUGCUUUGGAAUCUAAAUUUCCCUUGGCCAAAUUUGGAAGCAGAGACUCCAGAUCCUGUGACUGCAGAGAUGGACUUGAAGGGGCCAGGGAUCCUAGACACAGAGGUGACAGCUGGCUGGGCUCCAGUGUGUGCACCAAGAUUUCAACAGCAACCCAACCCUAGGUGCCUCCGCUCUAGCCCACAGCUCAGGGUAACAAAGUCACCAUAUUCCUCUGGUUCCAUUACGUCUCCUCUGAGCCACCCAUUCUCAGGCAAAGUAGUGGGAGGCUUGCUUAAGCACCUAUGACCUACGGCCGGCUGCGGUGGUUGAGACCAGAGCAAACUAUGGCUCCUGUUCGUGGGAAGAGGGUUGCAAGCUCGAGAGGGUAAAAAUAGCGGCACCGCUGAGCAGAGGCGCCUGCUCAACUUACGGACUGGAUUAGAUAGAGAGAGCUGGAAUGCGGUAGGGCCAGUAAGUGGGGACACUUCCAGGUGUACCGGAGUGGGUGCCCCAGGUCUAUACCUUCCCUGGUGGAUUCUAUGGGCCCUAGGUCCGAGGGUGUGUUUAUCUGUCCGGGUAUGUGUCUUUUCCCUCGGCUAACUUGCUCAAGUGUGGCCAAAAAUGCCCCGGAACAGCAGGCGCCGGUCCCCUUAGAGACUUCCACCGCCGACCUCACACGGUGUUCAGAGGGCCAGAGUGACCUGAGACUUCCCUGGAAGACUGGCUAUUCAAGCUUACAGCGUUUCUCUACAAUCUGCUCGAGCAGAGACCAGCUCUGGGACUAGCUGCUUGACCUCGGAGGAAAGGGCUGCGUGCUGGCUUGCAGAUCUAGAGAGAAUUGAUAUGAAUCUGGGAGACACAAGACUGCGGAAAGCUACAGGGCUGCCAUAGAGCCUAGUGGGCACCAGCCGCGAACUCCUUCCUACCAGUUACACACUGGAGCUAGAACAGCGGCACUCCGGGAAUAGAAGGCUCUUCUGGCGUCAUAAAUAAUUCGGGUAAAGCAGAAGGGAACUGUGCCUAGCCUUGGGAGCUCAGUCCCCCUAAGCGUCGUUACAUUUCACCUUCGCGAGGGAUUGGUGAAGUGGUAGGUCCUCGCAUGGGCAGGGAAAUUCGUAGGGGUGUUUGCGGAGCCUCUUAAACCCAGAGGAAGCUGAAUGAGGGACCAUACAAGCCCAGGCCUAGCUGCUCAGAGGCUGCGACAGAUUCCUGGAGAACAGCGACCUCUGGAGGAGCGUCGCAUCCACGCAGAGUCAGGAACUGCACUCUAGGUUGAGACCAAAUCGCCAUGUUCUCACCCCACCCCCAUACACUACUUUGGCAUUCAUCCAGAAACUUGGAACCGCUGGACUCGACGUUUUACUCACCUUGGCUGCCUUUCCCAACCUAUCGGCUUACUUCAGAUCCCUCCGAAACCUCCUGAGAGAAGCCUUCCCAGAGUCAAACCCAUCCUCCCUUCUUCCUGCUCUGAGCUCUUCAAAACCUAACUAAGGCCUGGACCCUCAACUCCAGCCCUGCUCACCACAGCGGGAAUCCACCUGCUUCCUGCCCCACCCAUUUUCAAAGAGACCGUUAAUCCACUCCACACCCACCCCUUGAGUGACAUGCUAAGUGUCCCCCCCCUUCCCCCGCCCUCGGUAAAGGAAGACUGAAGUCUAAAACUAGACGAUAUGUGGUUUCCAAAACAAUUUACCUCUACUGGAACAAGGAAAUAAACAAAGGAAAAGGAGGAUAUGGAAUCCAGGAAACAGAAGAUGCAACACAGGACAGAGAUGAAGGGAUAGUGAAAAGAAAUUCCGGAGCAACAUCUGUACAGCAGACAUGGAGAACCAUCAGUCCAGACUGGAGCCAGAGGACAGAGAAAUCUGGGAGAAAUGCCCCCAGGAGGGCAGACAUGCAGCAAAAACAGUGAUGAAUUUCUUCAUACACUUGGUCUUGUGAAAAAAUGUACUAUUGGAAAGAAGGGGGAGAUUUAGCAGUAGACAGAAGCUGAGCAAGUGAAAACAAAAAGGCAUAAUUAGGUACAGGAAAAAUUAAAAUAUUGGACACACAAAAGUAAACAUUGUAUACUCUUAGUUUAUCAGAUAACAAAGUAAUGAAGUAAAUGUUAUUAUAAAAACAAAUUUAACCCAAAGUUAGUGAUUUUGGUGCCAACAUGGGGGAGGAGAUUUUAGAGUUAGAUAAUCAGGUGUCAUAAUAUCAAGUUAAUCAUUAGAACCCAAGGUAGAUUUUCGAUGACAGAGCACUUGAUUGACAUGCUCUGGGUUUGAUUCCCAGCACCGCAAAAAAGAAAAAAGGAGGAAGAAGCCAUUCAUUACUCUUUCAAGAGAGAAGACUAUAAACAUGGAAAUAUAUUCCCAAACAAACAAAUCAGAACUGUAUUUGGAGAACUGCUCUGGAGUUGUUGCUUGUAGGCCUAGAUACAGAGUUUUUAAGAGCAGUGCAAGAUACCAAUUGUGAGCUUCUGAUUGCUAUUUGACUUGACAUGAUGUGCUUAUUUAAGUUGAACAAAAGCUUAAAUUAGAGGAGUAGAGAUGUAGUUCAGUGGUACAGUGCUUGACCAGGGUGUUUAAGGCCCUGGGUUCAAUCCCCAGUACCAAUAAAAUAAACAUUAAAAUGUACCUUCAGAUUAAAAA